rnacentral:lncRNA from 1 species
AUAUAUAUAUAUAUACACACAUAUAUAUGAUAUAUUAAUUUUGGAAAUGAAAAGAAUACUUCUUCGUUAAAGUUAUGACUUUAAACAUUCUAUAACGAUAGAAUGUAUAUGGGAGAUAUAGUCUAUAUACAUGGGAUGGAAAUCUAUAAUGAUAUAUUUCAAGAUAUAAUUGGAUUAUAUCAAUCCCUAAUAAUAGACAAGAGAUGCUAGGAAGUUUCUCAUAUGAUGAUAAACUUCAA